rnacentral:rRNA from 1 species
UGGGGAAUUUUGGGCAAUGGGGGAAACCCUGACCCAGCAACGCCGCGUGAAGGAUGAAGUAUUUCGGUAUGUAAACUUCGAAAGAAUAGGAAGAAUAAAUGACGGUACUAUUUAUAAGGUCCGGCUAACUACGUGCCAGCAGCCGCGGUAAUACGUAGGGACCAAGCGUUGUUCGGAUUUACUGGGCGUAAAGGGCGCGUAGGCGGCAUGACAAGUCACUUGUGAAAUCUCUGGGCUUAACCCAGAACGGCCAAGUGAUACUGUCGCGCUAGAGUGCAGAAGGGGCAAUCGGAAUUCUUGGUGUAGCGGUGAAAUGCGUAGAUAUCAAGAGGAACACCUGAGGUGAAGACGGGUUGCUGGGCUGACACUGACGCUGAGGCGCGAAAGCCAGGGGAGCAAACGGGAUUAGAUACCCCAGUAGUCCCUGAGCGGGCUGGCAAGGCGCAU